UUUCCGUAGGUGAACCUGCGGAAGGAUCAUUAUUGUAUAACCGAGGUGCGAGGGCUGUCGCUGACCCGAAAGGUCAUGCACGCCCGAGUGCCCUCACACACAUCCAUCUCACCCCUAUGUGCACCACCGCGUGGGUCCCCCUUUGGCUUGUUCGGAGGGGGGCUUACGCUUUCACACAAACUUUGUAUGCAGUGUAGAAUGUAUUUUUUGUUUUUGCGAUCACGCAAUCAAUACAACUUUCAACAACGGAUCUCUUGGCUCUC
rnacentral:misc_RNA from 1 species